CGGAGGAAAAGAAACCAACAGGGAUUGCCCUAGUAACGGCGAGUGAAGCGGCAACAGCUCAAAUUUGAAAUCUGGCGCAAGCCCGAGUUGUAAUUUGUAGAGGAUGCUUCUGGCCAGCGGCCGUUCUAAGUUCCUUGGAACAGGACGUCAUAGAGGGUGAGAAUCCCGUAUGUGACCGGCGCGCAGCCUUUACGUAGCUCCUUCGACGAGUCGAGUUGUUUGGGAAUGCAGCUCUAAAUGGGAGGUAAAUUUCUUCUAAAGCUAAAUACCGGCCAGAGACCGAUAGCGCACAAGUAGAGUGAUCGAAAGAUGAAAAGCACUUUGGAAAGAGAGUUAAAAAGCACGUGAAAUUGUUGAAAGGGAAGCGCUUGCAACCAGACUUCGUAGCGAUGUUCCGCCGGUCUUCUGACCGGUCUACUCAUCGUCGCGAGGCCAACAUCGUCUGGGACCGCUGGAUAAGACCUAAGGAAUGUAGCUUCCCUCGGGAAGUGUUAUAGCCUGUGGUGAUGCAGCGCGUCUCGGGCGAGGUCCGCGCUUCGGCAAGGAUGUUGGCGUAAUGGUUGUCAGCGGCCCGUCUUGAAACACGGACCAAGGAGUCUAACAUCUAUGCGAGUGUUCGGGUGUCAAACCCCUACGCGUAAUGAAAGUGAACGGAGGUGGGAAGCGCAAGCUGCACCAUCGACCGAUCCUGAUGUCCUCGGAUGGAUUUGAGUAAGAGCAUAGCUGUUGGGACCCGAAAGAUGGUGAACUAUGCCUGAAUAGGGUGAAGCCAGAGGAAACUCUGGUGGAGGCUCGCAGCGGUUCUGACGUGCAAAUCGAUCGUCAAAUUUGGGUAUAGGGGCGAAAGACUAAUCGAA
rnacentral:rRNA from 1 species